UUCCCCUUCGGGGGACAAAGUGACAGGUGGUGCAUGGUUGUCGUCAGCUCGUGUCGUGAGAUGUUGGGUUAAGUCCCGCAACGAGCGCAACCCUUAAGCUUAGUUGCCAUCAUUAAGUUGGGCACUCUAAGUUGACUGCCGGUGACAAACCGGAGGAAGGUGGGGAUGACGUCAAAUCAUCAUGCCCCUUAUGAUUUGGGCUACACACGUGCUACAAUGGACAAUACAAAGGGCAGCGAAACCGCGAGGUCAAGCAAA
rnacentral:rRNA from 1 species